rnacentral:rRNA from 1 species
UUGGAGGGCAAGUCUGGUGCCAGCAGCCGCGGUAAUUCCAGCUCCAAUAGCGUAUAUUAAAGUUGUUGCAGUUAAAAAGCUCGUAGUUGAAUUUCGGGAUCAGAGUGUCGGUCGUGCCUCGGUACGUACUGGUAUUAUUGGUUCCUACCUUCUGAAGAACCGCGAUGUCAUUAAUUUGGUGUCGUGGGGAAUCAGGACUGUUACUUUGAAAAAAUUAGAGUGUUUAAAGCAGGCUUACGCUUGAAUACAUUAGCAUGGAAUAAUGAAAUAGGACGUUUGAUUCUAUUUUGUUGGUUUCUAGGAUUGACGUAAUGAUUAAUAGGGAUAGUUGGGGGCAUUAGUAUUCAAUUGUCAGAGGUGAAAUUCUUGGAUUUAUUGAAGACUAACUACUGCGAAAGCAUUUGCCAAGGAUGUUUUCAUUAAUCAAGAACGAAAGUUAGGGGAUCGAAGACGAUCAGAUACCGUCGUAGUCUUAACCAUAAACUAUGCCGACUAGGGAUCGGAUGAUGUUAAUUUUUUAAUGACUCAUUCGGCGCCUUACGGGAAA